rnacentral:sRNA from 1 species
UGGCGCAAGAGAAUGGGCCGUUCCUCGG